UACGGAGGUGGCAAGCGUUACUCGGAAUUAUUGGGUGUAAAGGGCAAGUAGGUGGCAUGGUAAGUGAGAGGUGAAAUACUCCGGCUCAAUCGGAGAACUGCCUUUCAUACUGCCUUGCUUGAGGAUGACAGGGGGAAAUGGAAUUCCAGGUGUAAGGGUGAAAUCUGUAGAUAUCUGGAAGAACACCAGCGGCGAAGGCGAUUUCCUGGGUCACUCCUGACACUAAAUUGCGAAAGCUAGGGGAGCAAACAGA
rnacentral:rRNA from 1 species